UACGAAGGGGGCUAGCGUUGUUCGGAAUUACUGGGCGUAAAGCGCACGUAGGCGGAUUGACAAGUCAGGGGUGAAAUCCCGGGGCUCAACCUCGGAACUGCCUUUGAUACUGUUAGUCUAGAGUCCGGAAGAGGUGGGUGGAAUUCCUAGUGUAGAGGUGAAAUUCGCAGAUAUUAGGAAGAACACCGGUGGCGAAGGCGGCCCACUGGUCCGGAACUGACGCUGAGGUGCGAAAGCGUGGGGAGCAAAC
rnacentral:rRNA from 1 species